rnacentral:tRNA from 1 species
GCGUGGGUGCCCGAGCGGUCGAAGGGACGAGACUCAAAAUCUCGUGACACAGGUCUAACAUCGUAGGUUCGAAUCCUACCCCACGCA